CCCCCCAACGGCGGCCCCUCUCUCCCGCAUCAAGCACCGCACCGGCCGCGGCACCUGUGGAACACCCACCAUCUCCUCCUCCUCUCAUUGCCCUACCUCGCAGCCAGUGUCACCCGUCCGCACCCCCAGCAGCCGCCAGAUUGGUUCGCCAUCCCGCCGCACCAGCCAUACGCGUUGCUGCGGCCAGCCACCACCCCAAUCCGCUGCAUAUUGGUAGGCACAGCCGUCUCCCUUUGGUUGAGUCCUUCAGUGGUCCGUCUACCUUGACACAGCCACCCGCUGGCCGAGCGAGAACGCUUUGGAUCGGAGGCAUGCGGUAUUGGAUGGAGGAUAUAUAACUACAUCUACAGUUGGUCCGUGAGCAAGGGUGAGCAACCAAAAAAAUGAUGGCAUUAGCCCAUUGCCUGAUGAAGAAGAUGAGAGUAGGGAAGAAGAUGGUGAUGAGGUGGAGGAGAGUGGUGGUGGGCACAUCCUCGCUUGUACGCAUGUUCACUCAUUGGGCGACCUUGUUGCUACAUCAUUGCGUGGAUCCCGGCCACGUCCUACUCAAUCUGUGUCUUCACUGACCUUUCUGCCUACAAGAUUUCUGAUCACACGCCCUACUCAAUCUGUGUCUUCACUGACCUUUCUGCCUACAAGCAGGGCCGAACAGGAAAACCUCCCCGCCACCAUUAGGGAGCUCUUGGUUGCACCGCAAGAUGCAAGGCCUUUUCAAAUCACUCAUGUCGCUUAACUGCUAUGGACUCUCGCUGGUCAAGAUGAAUCAUUUUGUGCAGGUUAGCCUCACCCACUUCUUCUUGUCCUACUGCGACAUUUGGACAAUGACGGAAACUCUCAAGGAACACGCCGGUCUCUGGCAUGAUUUCCUUUCCUCGUGCAAUGCGUGAACCCCUGUAACUCUCUGUCACGUUUUGAAAUAUAUUCAGGUGGGGAGCCUUUCCCCCCGUGACCAUUAAAAAAAAUUUGGACAAUGACAUUCAGUUCUAGCAAAACUAUUGUGGAGGCGCAGGCUAGACCAGUGAAAGAAAGAGCUUGUCAUUGGAUGAUGUUCAUGGUCCAAGAUUUUGAGUUGCGUUGCCUCCUCCUUUACGAACAUCUACAACAUAUCUGGUGAUAUGCCUCUACGGGUAGUAGUUAAUCGUUGAUGAGUUUUUAUUUUCCAUGCCAUUCUUUGUCCGUUGUGCUGGUCAUGGAGCGGAGGGACAGUGAGAGAAGACGAGAGAGGGACAGGGAGGGAGACACAUCAGGGAGGAGUGUGGUGGCCACAUAGGAAUAAACGGCUGUGUUCAUAGCUGGUAGAGAUGUGGUAAAUGUGCAAGGCAAUGCGGACCUACCGGUGUGAUGGUCGGUGAGCCAAGGGAGCAGCUAGCCGUCCCAUCCCUUAAUGGCCCGUGGAGUCUGGUGGACAGAGCCCACGGACAUGCCUUUUCCUUGGUGCGGGCAAGGCACACAUAACUCCGGGUAUGUACUUUUAAUUAGUGAAUUGAAAGAAAGAAAAGGAAAACAUGAUAUUUGUUUGUCCACAUUGCUUCGUGAUCAUGUUUGUUUGUGAAGAAAAAUAGCAUACCACGUUACUGACUGUUUUGAGUAUUUUAUGUUUUAGUUAUUUAUUUUAGAACAAAUUGUAUUUCAGCAGGGUGUUUAAAGGCGAGACAUCAUCUUUGAUGUUCGUCAUUUUCUUUAGAUCGUUAUCAUCCUAUUUUGAAUGAAUACACCAGAGUUGUGUUUAACUGUACUUUAAUUUUUUCUUCAUGCAAUCUCUGUUCUGUUCUGCUUGAAUUUGUAUCAAGGGUCAGAGUUUGGUUUCAUGCAUCUUGCGACAACUUAAUCUAUUUCUUGAGCAAAGCUUCCCGAAUCCCGAUGGACAUCCUGCUUCACAUUUUGCAAAGGUGCUCCCAUGGUUGCUCCAGUUACUCAAGCGCAGAGCCGCCUGCUUGCAUGAGAUUUUCUCCGUAGUCGCGCUGCCUCUCUGUACCUGAACCACAAUGUGACCGCAGUACAACAAUGAGGCUUGAUUAAGUCGAGAAGGCUUUGAGUGAGCUCCACACAGCUAUUGACCGGGUCUUUGGUCACUGUCAGGCCUGAGGAAGUGCAUACUGAAGAAGACAAGGAGCACAUGGGGUAGAGCAAUGUGUUUUCGAUGUCAGAAUCAGAAUGCCAUGAGAGUUCUAAAUGUGCUUGCGUGGGCCAUGGGUGUGUGUGUUUCUGGAGCGUGUGGGUUAUUUAAUGCGCUACUAUCAUCAAGGCGAGGCAUUGAUGAUGAAAUAGAAUUUUGAAUCCCAUCCGCCCCAUAUCUGAACUCAACAAAAGAAGAAAGAUAAGGUUGCUAAUCCUCUUUGGGGUUGAUUUGGUGUAAGAUCCUGAUCCGCCUUCGGUUGAGUUGGAGGAAGGCUGAGAGAACUCCAUUCAAACUCAGUACACGUAAUAGGCUUCUUGUAGUACACAUAGAAAGCAUCUGGGAGUGGCUGAUGGACAUCAUCAUGGUGCUCACCGAAGGUGGCAAUCAUUGAGCAAGUAUGCAGAUCGACAUGCAGACCUAGCGUUGUAACUCAUUUCAUCAAUUGGCUUAAACAGGAACUCAGGGCGGGCAGCAGUUGAAUCACAUCUUAUUGAUACAAUUAUUGAUCAAAUCAGUGCCAACUCUGUGCCAA